CUGCAAUAUUCAGGAAUUUCCUUCUGGGGCUGCAUUUGGCUUGAGGACUACAGCUGCUGCACACAGCAAACCAGGGUGACCAGCAGAUGUCAGCUCUUUGUCUCAUCAGGAGGAAAUCGCAGUUGCUGUGGACAGGACUACACAGGGAAAAUGAAACAAAGGUGAUGAUACCACCUGCUGCGUGCGAACUCAGUCCCACGCCGAACACACGCAUUGCAUGGGUGAUAAAUCUGCAUUCCAUGACAGCAGAUUUGGGCUCAUCACUUUGCCUCAAUCAUCAGGAACGCAAACAGUAAACAACAAGCAGGCCCAACUACUAUCAGCCUGCCAUCUCUCGGGGCCAGGGACUCCCGAUGCUUUUGAAGGAGGCCCUUCGCUGCCUGAAAUCAGCAGAGCCG
rnacentral:lncRNA from 1 species